GGGAGGCAGCAGUGGGGAAUAUUGGACAAUGGGCGCAAGCCUGAUCCAGCCAUGCCGCGUGAGUGAUGAAGGCCUUCGGGUUGUAAAGCUCUUUUAUCCGGGAAGAUAAUGACUGUACCGGAAGAAUAAGCCCCGGCAAACUUCGUGCCAGCAGCCGCGGUAAUACGAAGGGGGCUAGCGUUGUUCGGAUUUACUGGGCGUAAAGCGCACGUAGGCGGCCUGUUAAGUCAGGGGUGAAAUCCUGGAGCUCAACUCCAGAACUGCCCUUGAUACUGGCAGGCUCGAGUAUGGAAGAGGUUGGUGGAACUGCGAGUGUAGAGGUGAAAUUCGUAGAUAUUCGCAAGAACACCAGUGGCGAAGGCGGCCAACUGGUCCAUUACUGACGCUGAGGUGCGAAAGCGUGGGGAGCAAACAGGAUUAGAUACCCCGGUAGC
rnacentral:rRNA from 1 species